AGUGGGAAGAAAGCUUCCAACUCCCAGCGGUUCCAGCAGAAGUCCUGGGGCUGGAGAGCUGUUCCUGAGUUGCCUGUGAUCACAUACCACACCUGAUGGCAUCACUGUAUCCAGGCUCCAGGUGCAUAGAAUGUUGUGAGGUCAUGACUGCCAGCAUUAUGACCAGUCUUGGAACUAGGAUUGGGGUGGGGUUCAUCCCACCCAGACCACAGAGACUGAAAAUAAGAAAGGGGUGAGGCCUAAGGGACAAUCAGGAUGUUUUUCAGAGAGAAGUGUGGAUGCUGGACAGGAAGAACCACAGAUACCAGAUACGGAAAAGGAAGAAUCAACACUUUCAGAGAUGGAGCCUGUUGAGCCACAGUACCAACUAGUCAAUGCUGAAUCGACUUCUCCCUUUCUACAUUGCCUGAGAGAAGUCAUUGGGGAAUACUCUAGAGUCAAGGGAUUGGAUUGUGGAUUGCAUUGGUGGUUUUCCUCAGUUUCCUCAUCUUCUCCACAAGUUUCUACAUAUCGAAUGCAGAGCAGCCCUUCUUCAAAGGACCUCCUACGGAAGCUGCUAAGGAACUCAGUCUGUAGCUCUGCGUGGAGCCAUGUGUAAACACUGAACUGAGACCUGCCACCUCCUACUACCUAAGGGCCCAUUUUCAUCUGAUAUCAUCCCCCAGAAACAAACUCAUGAUGACUUCCAUGUUUUUUUUAGAUUAGAUACAUGGAGAAUUUUCCUUUCCCUUAGAAUUAAAAUCCUGCAUUCUAAUUUUCAAGUGAUGUUCCCAGGAGAAAUGAUAAUGCAGCAAUGGACAAGAACAGGAACAAGAGACAGUCUUACCAUCUUCUUACAAUUUAUAGAUGGGACAGUGGAAAGAGAAGCCACAUCGGGGUUGGGCAUGCAGAGACCUGGUCCUAAAUCUGUGUGACUUUUGCGAAAUCCUUUUGCCUCACAGAGCUCUAGGUUCUUAUCUGUCAAACAGGAACCAGACCAUCAGAUCCGUAGAGAUCCAACCAAUGAAGGAGACUUCGAAAACUUCACAUUGCCGUGUCAAUGUGAGGUUGCUGGAUGGUUAUGACAAGAAAUCACAUUAAAUUCACUGGGGUAACAUUGUUCAUGAAACGGGAUAAUGUGUUUCAGCGAUGAACCACCCAUGGCCUUACUACAGACAUAUUUCCACUUUGAAAAUGUGUGUGAGUGUACAUGUCUGUGUGUGAGGCAGAGAUUAGAAAGUGUAAAUGUGUGCGUUUUCAUUUUACACAUCUUACAUUUUCCUUUAAUUUGUUUGAAAGCCUGUUUUGUUUGUGGCUUCCAUUCCUGGAAGUCCCAUGAGUUGUUAGUGGUGAAGAUGGAACAGAUGUGUCCAACCCGGGGGACUCCUGCCCUCAGGGACUGAGCAGCUGCAAACCUCUCUCUCAUCUGAUUCCACUGUUUCUUCCACAUGUACACAUCAUGAGAAAUAUUGUUCAAUCAAUAUCUUCCCUUAAAUCAACUCAUAUGCUUAUUUACAUGAAUUUACCUAAAACAGAAACUUGAUAUC
rnacentral:lncRNA from 1 species